rnacentral:rRNA from 1 species
AACGAACGCUGGCGGCAUGCCUAACACAUGCAAGUCGAACGAGACCUUCGGGUCUAGUGGCGCACGGGUGCGUAACGCGUGGGAACCUGCCCUUAGGUUCGGAAUAACUCCCCGAAAGGGGUGCUAAUACCGGAUAAUGUCUUCGGACCAAAGAUUUAUCGCCUUUGGAUGGGCCCGCGUUGGAUUAGCUAGUUGGUAGGGUAAAAGCCUACCAAGGCGACGAUCCAUAGCUGGUCUGAGAGGGUGAUCAGCAACACUGGGACUGAGACACGGCCCAGAAUACGAAGGGAGGAAGCAGUAGGGAAUGUUCAGCAAUGGGCGAAAGCCUGACGGAGCAACGACGCGUGAGUGAUGAAGGUCUUCGGAUCGUAAAAAUCUGUUAUUAGGGAAGAAAAAAUGUGUAAGUAACUAUGCACGUCUUGACGGUACCUAAUAAGAAAGCCACGGCUAACUACGGG